rnacentral:rRNA from 1 species
UUAAGCGACUAAGCGUACACGGUGGAUGCCCUGGCAGUCAGAGGCGAUGAAGGACGUGCUAAUCUGCGAUAAGCGUCGGUAAGGUGAUAUGAACCGUUAUAACCGGCGAUUUCCGAAUGGGGAAACCCAGUGUGUUUCGACACACUAUCAUUAACUGAAUCCAUAGGUUAAUGAGGCGAACCGGGGGAACUGAAACAUCUAAGUACCCCGAGGAAAAGAAAUCAACCGAGAUUCCCCCAGUAGCGGCGAGCGAACGGGGAGGAGCCCAGAGCCUGAAUCAGUGUGUGUGUUAGUGGAAGCGUCUGGAAAGGCGCGCGAUACAGGGUGACAGCCCCGUACACAAAAAUGCACAUGCUGUGAGCUCGAUGAGUAGGGCGGGACACGUGGUAUCCUGUCUGAAUAUGGGGGGACCAUCCUCCAAGGCUAAAUACUCCUGACUGACCGAUAGUGAACCAGUACCGUGAGGGAAAGGCGAAAAGAACCCCGGCGAGGGGAGUGAAAAAGAACCUGAAACCGUGUACGUACAAGCAGUGGGAGCACGCUUAGGCGUGUGACUGCGUACCUUUUGUAUAAUGGGUCAGCGACUUAUAUUCUGUAGCAAGGUUAACCGAAUAGGGGAGCCGAAGGGAAACCGAGUCUUAACUGGGCGUUAAGUUGCAGGGUAUAGACCCGAAACCCGGUGAUCUAGCCAUGGGCAGGUUGAAGGUUGGGUAACACUAACUGGAGGACCGAACCGACUAAUGUUGAAAAAUUAGCGGAUGACUUGUGGCUGGGGGUGAAAGGCCAAUCAAACCGGGAGAUAGCUGGUUCUCCCCGAAAGCUAUUUAGGUAGCGCCUCGUGAAUUCAUCUCCGGGGGUAGAGCACUGUUUCGGCAAGGGGGUCAUCCCGACUUACCAACCCGAUGCAAACUGCGAAUACCGGAGAAUGUUAUCACGGGAGACACACGGCGGGUGCUAACGUCCGUCGUGAAGAGGGAAACAACCCAGACCGCCAGCUAAGGUCCCAAAGUCAUGGUUAAGUGGGAAACGAUGUGGGAAGGCCCAGACAGCCAGGAUGUUGGCUUAGAAGCAGCCAUCAUUUAAAGAAAGCGUAAUAGCUCACUGGUCGAGUCGGCCUGCGCGGAAGAUGUAACGGGGCUAAACCAUGCACCGAAGCUGCGGCAGCGACGCUUAUGCGUUGUUGGGUAGGGGAGCGUUCUGUAAGCCUGCGAAGGUGUGCUGUGAGGCAUGCUGGAGGUAUCAGAAGUGCGAAUGCUGACAUAAGUAACGAUAAAGCGGGUGAAAAGCCCGCUCGCCGGAAGACCAAGGGUUCCUGUCCAACGUUAAUCGGGGCAGGGUGAGUCGACCCCUAAGGCGAGGCCGAAAGGCGUAGUCGAUGGGAAACAGGUUAAUAUUCCUGUACUUGGUGUUACUGCGAAGGGGGGACGGAGAAGGCUAUGUUGGCCGGGCGACGGUUGUCCCGGUUUAAGCGUGUAGGCUGGUUUUCCAGGCAAAUCCGGAAAAUCAAGGCUGAGGCGUGAUGACGAGGCACUACGGUGCUGAAGCAACAAAUGCCCUGCUUCCAGGAAAAGCCUCUAAGCAUCAGGUAACAUCAAAUCGUACCCCAAACCGACACAGGUGGUCAGGUAGAGAAUACCAAGGCGCUUGAGAGAACUCGGGUGAAGGAACUAGGCAAAAUGGUGCCGUAACUUCGGGAGAAGGCACGCUGAUAUGUAGGUGAAGUCCCUUGCGGAUGGAGCUGAAAUCAGUCGAAGAUACCAGCUGGCUGCAACUGUUUAUUAAAAACACAGCACUGUGCAAACACGAAAGUGGACGUAUACGGUGUGACGCCUGCCCGGUGCCGGAAGGUUAAUUGAUGGGGUCAGCGCAAGCGAAGCUCUUGAUCGAAGCCCCGGUAAACGGCGGCCGUAACUAUAACGGUCCUAAGGUAGCGAAAUUCCUUGUCGGGUAAGUUCCGACCUGCACGAAUGGCGUAAUGAUGGCCAGGCUGUCUCCACCCGAGACUCAGUGAAAUUGAACUCGCUGUGAAGAUGCAGUGUACCCGCGGCAAGACGGAAAGACCCCGUGAACCUUUACUAUAGCUUGACACUGAACAUUGAGCCUUGAUGUGUAGGAUAGGUGGGAGGCUUAGAAGUGUGGACGCCAGUCUGCAUGGAGCCGACCUUGAAAUACCACCCUUUAAUGUUUGAUGUUCUAACGUGGACCCGUAAUCCGGGUUGCGGACAGUGUCUGGUGGGUAGUUUGACUGGGGCGGUCUCCUCCUAAAGAGUAACGGAGGAGCACGAAGGUUGGCUAAUCCUGGUCGGACAUCAGGAGGUUAGUGCAAUGGCAUAAGCCAGCUUGACUGCGAGCGUGACGGCGCGAGCAGGUGCGAAAGCAGGUCAUAGUGAUCCGGUGGUUCUGAAUGGAAGGGCCAUCGCUCAACGGAUAAAAGGUACUCCGGGGAUAACAGGCUGAUACCGCCCAAGAGUUCAUAUCGACGGCGGUGUUUGGCACCUCGAUGUCGGCUCAUCACAUCCUGGGGCUGAAGUAGGUCCCAAGGGUAUGGCUGUUCGCCAUUUAAAGUGGUACGCGAGCUGGGUUUAGAACGUCGUGAGACAGUUCGGUCCCUAUCUGCCGUGGGCGCUGGAGAACUGAGGGGGGCUGCUCCUAGUACGAGAGGACCGGAGUGGACGCAUCACUGGUGUUCGGGUUGUCAUGCCAAUGGCACUGCCCGGUAGCUAAAUGCGGAAGAGAUAAGUGCUGAAAGCAUCUAAGCACGAAACUUGCCCCGAGAUGAGUUCUCCCUGACCCUUUAAGGGUCCUGAAGGAACGUUGAAGACGACGACGUUGAUAGGCCGGGUGUGUAAGCGCAGCGAUGCGUUGAGCUAACCGGUACUAAUGAACCGUGAGGCUUAACCUU